rnacentral:rRNA from 1 species
GAUGAACGCUGGCGGCGUGCCUAAUACAUGCAAGUCGAGCGAACGGACGAGAAGCUUGCUUCUCUGAUGUUAGCGGCGGACGGGUGAGUAACACGUGGAUAACCUACCUAUAAGACUGGGAUAACUUCGGGAAACCGGAGCUAAUACCGGAUAAUAUUUUGAACCGCAUGGUUCAAUAGUGAAAGACGGUCUUGCUGUCACUUAUAGAUGGAUCCGCGCUGCAUUAGCUAGUUGGUAAGGUAACGGCUUACCAAGGCAACGAUGCGUAGCCGACCUGAGAGGGGGAUCGGCCACAAUGGAACUGAGACACGGUCCAGACUCCUACGGGAGGCAGCAGUAGGGAAGCUUACGCAAUGGGCGAAAGCCUGAAGGAGCAAAGCCGCGUGAGUGAUGAAGGUCUUAGGAUCGUAAAACUCUGUUAUUAGGGAAGAACAAAUGUGUAAGUAACUAUGCACGUCUUGACGGUACCGAAUCAGAAAGCCACGGCUAACUACGUG